UACGGAGGGGGCUAGCGUUGUUCGGAAUUACUGGGCGUAAAGCGCACGUAGGCGGCUUUGUAAGUUAGAGGUGAAAGCCCGGGGCUCAACCCCGGAAUUGCCUUUAAGACUGCAUCGCGUUGAAUCCGGGAGAGGUGAGUGGAAUUCCGGAGUGUAGAGGUGAAAGUUCGUAGAUAUUGGGAAGAACACCGGUGGCGAAGGCGGCUCACUGGCUCAUUACUGACGCUCGAGGCGCGACAGCGUGGGGAGUCGAAACAGG
rnacentral:rRNA from 1 species